rnacentral:rRNA from 1 species
GCUCAGAUUGAACGCUGGCGGCAUGCCUUACACAUGCAAGUCGAGCGGCAGCGCGGGGGCAACCCUGGCGGCGAGCGGCGAACGGGUGAGUAAUGCAUCGGAACGUGUCCUCUUGUGGGGGAUAACCAGUCGAAAGACUGGCUAAUACCGCAUGAGAUCGAGAGAUGAAAGCAGGGGACCCGCAAGGGCCUUGCGCGAGAGGAGCGGCCGAUGCCCGAUUAGCUAGUUGGCGGGGUAAAAGCCCACCAAGGCGACGAUGGGUAGCUGGUCUGAGAGGACGACCAGCCACACUGGGACUGAGACACGGCCCAGUCUCCUACGGGAGGCAGCAGUGGGGAAUUUUGGACAAUGGGGGCAACCCUGAUCCAGCCAUGCCGCGUGUGUGAAGAAGGCCUUCGGGUUGUAAAGCACUUUCGGACGGAACGAAAUCGCGCGAUCUAAUAAGCCGCGUGGAUGACGGUACCGUAAGAAGAAGCACCGGCUAACUACGUGCCAGCAGACCGCGGUAAUACGUAGGGUGCGAGCGUUAAUCGGAAUUACUGGGCGUAAAGUGUGCGCAGGCGGCCGAGCAAGUCGAGUGUGAAAGCCCCGGGCUUAACUUGGGAAUUGCGCUCGAAACUACUUGGCUGGAGUGUGGCAGAGGAAGGUGGAAUUCCACGUGUAGCGGUGAAAUGCGUAGAGAUGUGGAGGAACACCAAUGGCGAAGGCAGCUUUCUGGGCCAACACUGACGCUCAUGCACGAAAGCGUGGGGAGCAAACAGGAUUAGAUAUCCCUGGUAGUCCACGCCCUAAACGAUGACGACUAGUUGUUGGGGGAGUUAAAUCCCUUAGUAACGCAGCUAACGCGCGAAGUCGUCCGCCUGGGGAGUACUGUCGCAA